AUCGGUUUCCCUGGAAACUUUGCUAUGGCAACGAAUACAUCUGUCUAAAAUAGGAUGGGCGCAUGACUCCAUUGAUCUGCAGGACAACAAGGAGGAGGGAAAAAAACACAAUUCGCCUGAUUCAAGACUUUGGGAGCUUAAGUGCCAUGACAGCUGUGGAUGGAGAGCUUUUGUUUUCACAGGAGGACGGCUCGACAUCUCCGUCCGCUCCAAAGUCUCGGAACAUCAGAAGAGCAGGAACGAGCCUCUCUGACGGGUUGUUCUGGUUGGGUUUACUUGCUCCAACGUUUGUAGCAGCAGAAGAAAAGAUGAUGGUGGAGGAGUCCAGGAGCUCAGGGUUUCUUCAGGAUCGCUCCAGUCGGCUUCAUUAGGAUCAACAAAGUUGUAUCUUCUUUCACUCCAGUCUAACUUAUUGCUGCCAUCCAUCUUUAUUUCCAGCCAACCCGUUUCCAUCCCUCAACCUUCGUUGCCUUGGAUACUACUACAGAUGACCCCCUCUAAUCAUUUUUUCCUUCAUCUCUGCUUUUGCUCGCCAAGUUUCUCACUAGAGAUCUCUGCAGGCGGAGUGAAGGCCACCGUGACCCCCCCCCACCCGGGACACGGACACGUCCUCAAACAUCUGUCUUCAGUCCAGCUGCCGUCUUUCAACCGGAUCUGAAAGCGUUUUCCGUAGCAGCGAAAGCCGCGGAGGGAGAAGCAAUUCAGCAAAUGCCAGCACCAUUCCAGAGCCUCGCUUUUCUGCUUCAGCGGACUGGCAUUUGGAAUGGACACACGCAGGGCAAAAGGUCAGGCCCAUCACAGCAGGACGCAAAUUUGAUGGACUCCACGGAAAACGUGGGAUAAUCCUGAGAGGCCGGCGGGACGGCAGGUUAUUGGAGGAGGAGCGGGAGGCCGCCUGGCGCUCUCGAAGUUAGCCUGAAGCACCAAAAUAGAAGAUUCUGUUGGACCAAACCUUCUCUGUGGCAGAUUGCAGAUUAAUGACUUUCAUUUUGGAACCGCCACAGAUGGUGUCGGGAGAAAUAAGAAUAUGGAGAUAAUCGCAUAACAGAGUUUCAGCGGCUCAGAACAAACCGCCAGUUUAUCCAAA